rnacentral:rRNA from 1 species
AGCUUGCUGGGUGGAUUAGUGGCGAACGGGUGAGUAACACGUGAGUAACCUGCCCUUAACUCUGGGAUAAGCCUGGGAAACUGGGUCUAAUACCGGAUAGGAGCGUCCACCGCAUGGUGGGUGUUGGAAAGAUUUAUCGGUUUUGGAUGGACUCGCGGCCUAUCAGCUUGUUGGUGAGGUAAUGGCUCACCAAGGCGACGACGGGUAGCCGGCCUGAGAGGGUGACCGGCCACACUGGGACUGAGACACGGCCCAGACUCCUACGGGAGGCAGCAGUGGGGAAUAUUGCACAAUGGGCGAAAGCCUGAUGCAGCGACGCCGCGUGAGGGAUGACGGCCUUCGGGUUGUAAACCUCUUUCAGUAGGGAAGAAGCGAAAGUGACGGUACCUGCAGAAGAAGCACCGGCUAACUACGUGCCAGCAGCCGCGGUAAUACGUAGGGUGCGAGCGUUAUCCGGAAUUAUUGGGCGUAAAGAGCUCGUAGGCGGUUUGUCGCGUCUGUCGUGAAAGUCCGGGGCUUAACCCCGGAUCUGCGGUGGGUACGGGCAGACUAGAGUGCAGUAGGGGAGACUGGAAUUCCUGGUGUAGCGGUGGAAUGCGCAGAUAUCAGGAGGAACACCGAUGGCGAAGGCAGGUCUCUGGGCUGUAACUGACGCUGAGGAGCGAAA